UACGAAGGGGGCUAGCGUUGCUCGGAAUUACUGGGCGUAAAGCGCACGUAGGCGGCUCUUUAAGUCGGGGGUGAAAUCCUGGAGCUCAACUCCAGAACUGCCUUCGAUACUGGCGAUCUCGAGUCCGGAAGAGGUGAGUGGAACUCCUAGUGUAGAGGUGGAAUUCGUAGAUAUUAGGAAGAACACCAGUGGCGAAGGCGGCUCACUGGUCCGGUACUGACGCUGAGGUGCGAAAGCGUGGGGAGCAAACAGG
rnacentral:rRNA from 1 species